UACAGAGGGGGCAAGCGUUAUUCGGAAUUAUUGGGCGUAAAGGGCGCGUAGGCGGCUUUUCAAGUGACGGGUGAAAUCCCUCGGCUUAACCGAGGAACUGCCUGUCAGACUGGAAGGCUUGAGACCGGGAGAGGUGAGUGGAAUUCCCAGUGUAGCGGUGAAAUGCGUAGAUAUUGGGAGGAACACCAGUGGCGAAGGCGGCUCACUGGCCCGGUACUGACGCUGAGACGCGAAAGCGUGGGUAGCAAACAGG
rnacentral:rRNA from 1 species